ACUUCCGCCGGCGCUCAGCGUGAAGAGGGAAGCUUCCUGUCGCGUGGAUGUGAACCCUGUGUGGUCAGUGCCAUCCACCGAAAUCUACAGACAUCUUGCGUACUCCCUGGCUCUCUGCACCUCUGCCCAAUGCAGGGUUCCAAGGCCCAUAGGCUGUGCAGCCCUCCUGGAGACCAAUGGAAGCUCCCUGGGUCGACAGAUUACACUUCCUGGGGUCCCCUACUCUCUUCAACUCCCUGAUGGGUGCCCGUUGUCCCUGGAGAGGAUGCUUGGAAAUAACAGCUUGGGCACACAGCAACCAUAAGAGGUGUCUCCAUCCUGCCAGACUGAUGGACCAUGUUGUUCCUUAGUGAGGAUUGUCCCCGGGCAUCUGGAGCUCGGUAUCCCGCAAGAAUAUGUGCAGUUUCCCGGAUUGCCUUUGGGAGUGUGUGAAGCCAGGUCCGUGCCCUGUGCCACCAGAGGACAGCACCUGCCAGCGAACCAUGGCCCUGAUGCGCCUUUCAGCAGCCUGCACAGCAGAGCAUCGGGCUUGUCUCCAGAGCGCUCCAGGAUUGUCAGCUGAUUUUUGCUGUCUAUGUCAGCACUCCUCAUGUUGCAAGAAGUGACUGGAACAGGGGCCUUGCCAGGUGUUUGUGGACCCCAGAGGACCAGGGAGUGGACAGGAGAACCACCACGGAGUGGAACUGGGAACUGCCUACUCAAAGCAUCCUGAAACAGCCUUUUUUUAUUAUGUUUUACAAUCGACUCAGGCAUGGGAGACUCCAACAUACACCUCAGAGGGCUAUGUCCUGUCCCUGUGUCCAUCUGCAGUGCCUGAAUGACAAGAACUUUUCUGUUGAACUUGUUGCUUAACUUUCCUGUUACUCUUCCCCCCCGCCCUCACCACACAUACAUUGUACAUUGUUCAAUAAACCUUACAGAUUGA